CGAAAGGUACCGCGUAUCUCAUAUUUGAAUUCUUAGAUGACGGCGUAUGACAACUCGAACUCCCAUGCCUUGAGUGUGUAACGGAUCAAACAUAAUAUUUCACCCGGCUGAAACGCGUUAUCGGUACUAUACAGCAUUCUCUACUGCAAGGUAUCUCGCAUGUAGCUUACAAAGACCGUAUGAGCACAAACAAGUUUAGCUGCCUCCAUUCACCGACCUCAAAAGUCACAUCAACGCCUCUCGCGCUAAAUUUCAUCCCGAAAGCUGCCGCGUAUCUCAUAAUGGAAUUCUGAGAUGACGGCGUAUGAUAACUCGAACACCCAGCUUGUGUUACCAUUUGCCGGCAUGAGCAAUCCGACAUGCCACCAGCAGGCCAACAAAUUUGCUUGCAUUUCUAUAUGAAAUACACAAGCUGCUUGUUUGUACAUUUACUUUGGCCAAUGCACGGGGCCUCCGAGACUUGCGGUGUGCCGCGAUGAAGCUCGCGGCUGUGGGGCGGAUUGCUGAGGCCGCUGGCGCUUCGGGGAUAAACAUCACAGACAGCACCGAACUUCACUCAGCUUGCGUUAUCAAUUUGCCCGCACGGGCAUUCCGACUUGCGGUCUGCCGCACUGUCCAUGCGGCAUGCACCUGGGAUGGAUGCGAUUCGCGUGGAGCCCGCAGGCGGUGCUGACGAUUCCGCCGGUGCGAGCUUAGCUCCCACACCAUCAAUACUGCUGCAACAAAGCACAUCUCCCACCGCAGUGACACUACCCAUCAAUUGUCACACGUGCCGUGCUAGCUACCGGCCUGUACGGAUGCAGGGGGGGCCCGCCCUUUUUCCGGCUUCGAGGAAGCCGACACCCG
rnacentral:lncRNA from 1 species